AUAUAGCAUGAGAGCUUGAAUCUUGCAGUGGUCCUCACUUCGGUCGACAGAGCCAGUUAAACGUAUUAAGUGUUAAGCAUUCACCGCCCGAAAAACUAUUUCUUCUGUGCUUCUAGAGUAAUAGACGGUUCACCACGCACGAGAAGCUUGUCGGAGCUGCAAGACCAUCAGAUUAGGAGGUUACAAAUUCAAUAAUAUAAAGUGCAGCUCUCAUUUGUUGAAUCGACGUGCUAGGUUACAUUAGGAAUAGCGGUGAACUCUGUAGCUUGUAAAGAUGAAAUCAAGUCUGUUUUAUCUGACUACUUCUCUUUUAGCUUUCGGUCAUGUGACACCAGCCGUCAGAGAAGACGACGUGCGGCAAAGCGUUCUUGACAGUCUUGGAAACAGUUCUAUUCGAUUGGAAGACAUAAAGUUUUCUUUCAGGCCAUACUUUUUUGUUAAGUACAAAUUUAGCCUUUCUCAAGGUUUGCUUCUAUUACGCGUGGCCGAAGCACGAGAUGCCGAAUGCAGAACCGUAGUGACUAAACGCAAAUACGUGUUGACCACCUGCUACUUCGAUAUUUCUCGAAGCAUUGCACUCUACGCUGUCUCACGGAAAAAAGACGCAUCCAAUCUCGAGCAAAACUUCAAUGCCAGCGCUACUGUCACGAAAGGCAGCGUACAUGUUUCCAUCACGCUAAAGCCACCCGGUUACAAAGGUUAUGGAGAUCGUCUCACGGUGACAGUGUAUGUAAACAUGACAAGCGUUAGCAUCAGUCACCCGCCGGAUGCAUUCGGUUCUUCGAAAGUUCAAAGAAAGUUUCAGAAAAAAGCCCACACUCAUAUCACAAGAAAGAUUGUGGAAACGUUGGAAAAAGCCUUCAAGAAUGUCGAAAAUCGGCUUCGUGAGAUCUGGAGAAAGUCUACAAUGUUAAGCUCAACCAAUGCGCCCAUCACCACGACGACAGGCGAAAGCUCAUCUGAUGCCACAAGCACUAUUACCACAGCUACGACUCAAGGACUGAGCACUACCACAACAGACACUCCUGCAACAGACAAGAAUUCAACAGAAUCUACGUCUUCAACUGCGAGCAUAAAUAAUUGCUAGUCAAUGUCAAUACAGCAAUGAGCAGCGAUGAUUGGGUAAUGUCACCCUUAUUCACGUCAGUGCCAGAAUUUUCGGAUAAAGUGAUUGAGGUAUUGCGG